UUCUACACUUUAUAAUAGAAUUUUAUUUUUUAGUCAAAAAGCUAAAAUAUAUUUAAAAGACGAGAAGACCCUAUAAAUCUUUAUAUUUAGAUUAUUAUAAUUUUAUAGAUUUCUUUUGUUAUAAUAGUUGAUAAUAUUUUAUUGGGGUGAUAUUAAAAUUUAAUAAACUUUUAAUUGUUUAAAUCAUUAAUUUAUGAAUAAUUGAUCCAUUAAUAGUGAUUAAAAAAAUAAGUUACCUUAGGGAUAACAG
rnacentral:rRNA from 1 species